rnacentral:rRNA from 1 species
UAAUACAGAGGGGGCGAGCGUUGUUCGGAAUCACUGGGUGUAAAGGGUGCGUAGGCGGUCAGUUAAGUCUGAUGUGAAAGCCCUCGGCUCAACUGGGGAAUUGCAUUGGAAACUAGCUGGCUGGAGUACUGGAGAGGGAAGCGGAAUUCCUGGUGUAGCGGUGAAAUGCGUAGAUACCAGGAGGAACACCGGUGGCGAAGGCGGCUUCCUGGCCAAGUACUGACGCUGAGGCACGAAAGCGUGGGGAGCGAACGGGAUUAGAUACCCCGGUAGUCCACGCCUUAAACGAUGGGUACUAGAUGUUGGAGGUAUCGACCCCUCCAGUGUCGUAGCUAACGCGUUAAGUACCCCACCUGGGGAGUACGUUCGCAAGAAUG